rnacentral:rRNA from 1 species
CCUACGGGUGGCAGCAGUGAGGAAUAUUGGUCAAUGGCCGGGAGGCUGAACCAGCCAAGUCGCGUGAGGGAAGACGGCCCUACGGGUUGUAAACCUCUUUUGUCAGGGAGCAAGGUGCAGGUCGGGACCUGCUGUGAGAGUACCUGAAGAAAAAGCAUCGGCUAACUCCGUGCCAGCAGCCGCGGUAAUACGGAGGAUGCGAGCGUUACUCGGAAUCACUGGGCGUAAAGGGUGCGUAGGCGGGGUAAUAAGUCAGUUGUGAAAUCCUGUAGCUUAACUACAGAACUGCAUUUGAAACUGGUACUCUGGAGUGUGGGAGAGGUAGGUGGAAUUCUUGGUGUAGGGGUAAAAUCCGUAGAGAUCAAGAGGAAUACUCAUUGCGAAGGCGACCUGCUGGAACAUUACUGACGCUGAUGCACGAAAGCGUGGGGAGCAAACAGGAUUAGAUACCCCAGUAGUC